ensembl:lncRNA
CUUGUUUGCAGAAGAUGCCUAUAAUUGAAAUCCGAAUCCACACGGAUUUGCUGUGAAUGGGAGGGAGGAAGAGAGAGAGAGAGAGAGAGAGAGAGAGAGAGAGAGAGAGAGAGAGAGAGAGAGAGAAAGAAAGAGGUGAGUCAUACUCAAACUCAGUGGCCUCAUACAAGCACUUGCUGCACAGAGGGGAGGAUGACGUGCUUUUGCUCCAUUCCAGCAUCAGCUAUGACCAUGAAAACAACAUUACAGGACCCUGACUCACAUGAUCUGUGGCUUUUAAAGGCUUCACACCUCUAAGUGAUAAAGGAACGCCAGGAACAGAUUAAGAUGCUUUUCAUUCAUUGGACCUGAGGUUGAUUCCUUCCAUACCUGCUUUCUUACAUUCCCCUUCACAUACACGCGUACAUUAAACACACCCAUGUCCCUCUCUUAGCGCACUAGCCUUGAUCUGUAAAACGUAAGUGAAAUGAAUGAACAACUAGAACAACUAGAAGGCAGAAAACAGAGCACAGUAAAUCUUUGUCACAUCUCAUUUAGGCUGUAAGGUUUACCUUUACGCUCUGUGUAAAUGAAGUAGACUCUGAGUAUCAGGCUUUGUAUAAAUGCUUGUACUAUAGACGGACUUGUAACCAUGUCCUUCUAGUAGUGUGAUGGUUUUAUUACUUCAGCAUAUUGUUGUUGGGGGAAUUUAUUUAUUGUCCUAUAAUUAAACAUUUCUAUCCUGAAGGGAGUGAUCUCUUCCAGGAUGACCCCACAGCCAUCCAGAAGGCAAGAUGGCUCACUGAUGAAUAGGAAAUGAUGUAAAUCAUAUGAUGUGGCCUUCACAGUUAAGAGAUCUUAACCCAAAUGAGCAUCUGUUGGAGAUUUUUGAACUCCAAGACCAUCAUGAAAACACCGACUGAUGGGAUAUCUUCUGGAAGAAUGCCAGCAUGGAACGUUUGCACCUCAGCAGUGGGCAGAGCUCAGACAAGCAGAAUCAUGUAGAAGAUGUGUGUGGAGAGGGAGCUGGCUGUUAAGGCUUCAAUAAAGUACGAGAAAAAAAAAAAAAAAGCUGGCUUUCAUGUCACAAUUCCAAAAAUACUGCUGUCAGGUAAUUCUCUAGGUAUAGACAUGAAGGAAAUGUCACACCGAUUCACCUUAACCUUUUACAGCUUCUACAUGGUUCUAGAAAGGUUUCAUGAUUGCAGAGUUUGUUGAAUCUGCGUAAAAUAACUCACCGCGACUAGUUCGAUGUCUAAAAUCAUCCCCUAUAUUUCUUUCAAAGUUUUUUUUUUUUUUUUCCCCCGAACCGCAUUCAUUCCAUUCCAUUGUAUCGUAUUAGACUGAGUCAUUAAUUCCCCUGGUCUUUUUGUUGUUGUAUUUUUUUUUCACCAUGUGACAGGGAGGUGAAAGCAAUCUGUGCUGGUCUCCUAAUAAUCAGUAUGCC